AGGAUGAACGCUGGCGUCGUGCCUAACACAUGCAAGUCUAACGAAGAGGCCCCUUCGGGGGUACUUCAGUGGCGGACGGGUGAGUACAACAUAGGUGACCUGCCCCAAAGCGGGGGAUAACAGUCCGAAAGGAUUGCUAAUACCCCAUGUGGUCAUCGGGAUUUGAUGCUCAAUGACAUAAAGGAUUAAUCCGCUUUGGGAGGGGCCUGUGGCCCAUCAGCUUGUUGGUAGGGUAAUGGCCUACCAAGGCUACGACGUGUAGGGGGCCUGAGAGGGUGACCCCCCACAUUGGCACUGACACACGGGCCAAACUCCUACGGGAGGCAGCAGUGAGGAAUAUUGCACAAUGAGCGAAAGCUUGAUGCAGCAACGCCGCGUGAGCGAUGAAGGCCUUCGGGUCGUAAUGCUCUUUUGAGAGAGACGAGAUAGGACGGUACCUCUCGAAUAAGUCACGGCUAAUUACAUGCCAACACCCGCGGUAAAACGUAGGUGGCGAGCGUUAUCUGGAUUCACUGGGCGUAAAGCGAGUGCAGGUGGUUUUGUAAGUUGGAUGUGAAAUUUCCCGGCUUAACCGGGAAAGGUCAUUCAAUACUGCAGGACUUGAGGGCAAAAGAGGGGGGUGGAAUACCCGGUGUAGUGGUGAAAUGAGUAGAUAUCGGCAGGAACACCUGUGGCGAAAGCGGCCCCUUGGUUUGCUCCUGACACUCAGACUCGAAAGAUAGGGUAGCGAACGGGAUUAGAAACCCCGGUAGUCCUAGCCGUAAACGAUGGAUGCUAGGUGUAGGUGGUAUUGACCCCAUCUGUGCCGAAGCUAACGCGUUAAGCAUCCCGCCUGGGGACU
rnacentral:rRNA from 1 species